UCCAGCAGUUCCCAGCUAACAAUUUUAUGUUUUACCCUCUCACUCACACGAUGUAACUGAAUAAGCCAGGCUACGCCCAGUGCACAAUCGGGUCGCGUUUUGGUCGCAACCGGAUCGAAACGGCCUGUCAGCGUGUAUGAAACACCCGGUUGUGAGAGUGUUGUGUGCGUCUUGUCAGUUUCGGGUUUCUCUUCAGGAAGAUGAAAAAACAGUGAGAAGAAGAACAACUAUCAUUGCGAAGUGUAAACAAUCAAUGUUAUUACCAAAAAGAUGUGUGAUACGCAGCCUCCUUUCAAAGGCGUUGGAGAUGGUUCGGCCACUGUGUUGUUGCGGGUGUAUUAUGUGGACGCCGAGGUUGUUACCGCCUGACCGAGCGUUCUAACGGCAGAUGCCCUGAGAAACAACACAAUUAUAACCACCAUUUGACUCUUUUAUUCGACCUGUUUGAUGACUAUGAUACCACUUUCAACGCCAAACUAUAAACUAAAGGAACAUUUUUUCCACUUUCAGCACUGCACUUCUCCAAAUCCCGUAUGAAACACAUAUUUGCACACUACAUGUUUUGGUAUGAUCGGUGGAAGAAAUAAUGUACUUGAAGAAUAGUCUACUUGAUGAUUGAUGAUUUUCCUGCGAUGAAUAAACUCCGAUAUAUUGUGAGCUCUAA